CGGCAAUAUUAAUACAGCUAAUGGCCAAAGAAGUAUGUUUUUUAUACUAAGUGUAUGGAAUGAAACAAAAACGUCCUGCAAGGUCGUUAUAGAGUUGCGUUUAGUCGUUUAUCGUUGUAUUCGUUCAUUUCGAAAUCGCCACUGACAAAAGUAUUAAAGAAAAAAUUGGCAGCUUUCUGGCGACGGCAAUUAAUAGAGAUUAUGGAA